AUACGUAGGGGGCGAGCGUUGUCCGGAAUGACUGGGCGUAAAGGGCGUGUAGGCGGCCGAUUAAGUCUGGAGUGAAAGUCCCGCUUUCAAGGUGGGAAUUGCUUUGGAGACUGGUUGGCUUGAGUGCGGAAGAGGUAAGUGGAAUUCCCAGUGUAGCGGUGAAAUGCGUAGAGAUUGGGAGGAACACCAGUGGCGAAGGCGACUUACUGGGCCGUAACUGACGCUGAGGCGCGAAAGCGUGGGGAGCGAACAGGAUUAGAUACCCUGGUAGUCCACGCUGUAAACGAUGAAUGCUAGGCGUAGGGGGUAUCGACCCCUCCUGUGCCGGAGUAAACGCAAUAAGCAUUCCGCCUGGGGAGUACGGCCGCAAGGUUGAAACUCAAAUGAAUUGACGGGG
rnacentral:rRNA from 1 species